rnacentral:ncRNA from 1 species
UUUGCAUAGUUUCAAUCACGAGAUGAUUUGAACUAGACAACUAUUGAAAACUAAGAAUCUCUGAACGGAUUCAUUCCCUGUGAUGAUAGGGUCGUGGAUGUACUCUAGUGAGUAGUCUGAGUAGUAGUCUAAGUGAGUAGUCCGGAGAGGGAGCCUGAGAAAUGGCUACUACAUCCAAGGACGGCAGCAGGCGCGAAAAUUACCCACUCUUGGUACGGGGAGGUAGUAAUGAAAAAUACAUAUACGGGAUUCAAUCGAGGCUCCGUAAUUCGAAUGAGUACAAUUUAAAUCCUCUAACGAGGACCAAUCAGAAGGCAAGUCUGAUGCCAGCAGCCGCGGUAACUCCAGCUUCAA